CAUCACGCCAAUCUAUGACAUAGUUCAGACCACACUUUUGGAUUACAUCAGGAAAAGCAAGGUGGCAGCAUCUGAAGCAGGUGGAAUUACUCAAGGCAUAGGGGCAUACAAGGUACAAGUACCUUUUGAUGGCAAGCCACAGACUUGUGUUUUCCUUGACACCCCUGGACAUGAGGU